UGGGGAAUAUUGCACAAUGGGCGAAAGCCUGAUGCAGCGACGCCGCGUGAGGGAUGAAGGCCGUCGGGUUGUAAACCUCUUUCAGCAGGGAAGAAGCGCAAGUGACGGUACCUGCAGAAGAAGCGCCGGCUAACUACGUGCCAGCAGCCGCGGUAAUACGUAGGGCGCAAGCGUUGUCCGGAAUUAUUGGGCGUAAAGAGCUCGUAGGCGGUUUGUCGCGUCUGGUGUGAAAACUCGAGGCUCAACCUCGAGCUUGCAUCGGGUACGGGCAGACUAGAGUGCGGUAGGGGAGACUGGAAUUCCUGGUGUAGCGGUGGAAUUCGCAGAUAUCAGGAGGAACACCGAUGGCGAAGGCAGGUCUCUGGGCCGCAACUGACGCUGAGGAGCGAAAGCAUGGGGAGCGAACAGG
rnacentral:rRNA from 1 species